rnacentral:rRNA from 1 species
CCGGGGAGAUUGAACUAGGCCUAACCUGCAAUCACUUGUACUUGAAAUAUAGUAACAAGAGAUGUCGUAAGGGAAAAUAAUGAUAUUACCUUACUAAUAGUGUCGUCAAAAACUGGUGCCAGAAGACUCGGUAAGACCAGAGACGCAAACGUUAAUCAUCUUAAUCAGGCGUAAAGGGUUUGUAGGCUGCUUUGAAAAUCUUAAAUUUAUAUUAGCUAAGGCAAUUAGCCUGGUAAAAUUAGGAUCAAUUAAAGCUAGAAUCUAAUAGAGGUUAUAUUAAAUAAUACUUAGAGGAGGGAUUAAAUCCUUAGAUACUAAGGGGAAUACUUAGGGCGAAAGCAUUUUACCACUAAAGAUUGACGCUGAGAAACGAAGGUGAGGAUAGGAAAUAGGAUUAGAUACCCCGGUACCCCUCUCUGUCAACGAUGAAUGGUAGUUCCUAGUUUAAGAACUAGAGACGAUGUUAACACGUUAACCAUUCCGCCUUGUGAGUACGAUUGCAAAAUUGAAAACAAAAAAAUUAGUCGGUCUCGGAGCAAACGAAGUGAAGCAUGUUAUUUAAUUCGAUUAAAUCCGCA